rnacentral:ncRNA from 1 species
CAACCUCAACUCAUAUGGGACUACCCCCUGAAUUUAAGCAUAUUAAUUAGGGGAGGAAAAGAAACUAACAAGGAUUUUCUUAGUAGCGGCGAGCGAAAAGAAAUCAGUUCAGCACUAAGUCACUUUGUCUAUAUGGCAAAUGUGAGAUGCAGUGUACGGAACAUCAACAUUCUAGUAUGAGAAGUUAACGAUUUAAGUCCUUCUUAAAUGAGGCCAUUUACCCAUAGAGGGUGCCAGGCCCGUAUAACGUUAAUGAUUACUAGAUGGUGUUUCCAAAGAGUCGUGUUGCUUGAUAGUGCAGCACUAAGUGGGUGGUAAACUCCAUCUAAAACUAAAUAUAACCAUGAGACCGAUAGUAAACAAGUACCGUGAGGGAAAGUUGAAAAGAACUCUGAAUAGAGAGUUAAAUAGUACGUGAAACUGCUUAGAGGUUAAGCCCGAUGAACCUGAAUAUCCGUUAUGGAAAAUUCAUCAUUAGAAUUGUAAUAUUUUAAACAAUAUUAUAAUAAUAGUGUGCAUUUUUUCCAUAUAAGGACAUUGUAAUCUAUUAGCAUAAAUAUUUAUCAUAAAAUUAUGUCUGAUUGCUUAUUUGAAUUAUAUGCUUGGCAUUUUAACAUAAAAUAAAAGAUAUAAAUUUGAUAAAGUGCUGAUAGAUUUAUAUGAUUACAGUGCGUUAAUUUUUCGGAAUUAUAUAAUGGCAUAAUUAUCAUUGAUAUUUGUGUUUAUUAUAUGCAUUUGUAUGAUUAACAAUGCGAAAGAUUCAGGAUACCUUC